rnacentral:rRNA from 1 species
UUUGCCUACGGGAGGCAGCAGUGGGGAAUAUUGCACAAUGGGGGGAACCCUGAUGCAGCGACGCCGCGUGGGUGAAGAAGUCAUUCGUGACGUAAAGCCCUAUCAGCAGGGAAGAAAAUGACGGUACCUGACUAAGAAGCCCCGGCUAACUACGUGCCAGCAGCCGCGGUAAUACGUAGGGGGCAAGCGUUAUCCGGAUUUACUGGGUGUAAAGGGAGCGUAGACGGCAGAGCAAGUCUGAAGUGAAAGCCCGCGGCCCAACUGCGGGACUGCUUUGGAAACUGCCCGGCUAGAGUGCUGGAGAG